rnacentral:rRNA from 1 species
AGCAGCCGCGGUAAUUCCAGCUCCAAUAGCGUAUAUUAAAGUUGUUGCAGUUAAAAAGCUCGUAGUUGAAUUUCGGGAUCAGUACGCUGGUCGUGCCUUGGUAUGUACUGGUGUCACUGGUUCCUACCUUCUGACGAACCGUCAUGUCAUUAAUUUGGUGUGGCGGGGAAUCAGGACUGUUACUUUGAAAAAAUUAGAGUGUUUAAAGCAGGCUCGCGCUUGAAUACAUUAGCAUGGAAUAAUGAAAUAGGACGUUUGAUCCUAUUUUGUUGGUUUCUAGGAUUGACGUAAUGAUUAAUAGGGAUAGUUGGGGGCAUUAGUAUUCAAUUGUCAGAGGUGAAAUUCUUGGAUUUAUUGAAGACUAACUACUGCGAAAGCAUUUGCCAAGGAUGUUUUCAUUAAUCAAGAACGAAAGUUAGGGGAUCGAAGACGAUCAGAUACCGUCGUAGU